GGUGGAUUUACAGGUCUUCUGUCCUGUCUUUCUUUGCAGCUGAACCUGCGGGUGAAGGUGGUGCAGCUUCCCAAGCCACGUCCAGGACUGAGGCUGUGGGAGAUGCUGAGGGUGUGUCUGCAGGGAGGACUUCUCCAGCUCCUUUGCUGAUUCCUACACAGAAGCCUGGCAACCAUCGCAGAGUCCUCCACCAGAAGAGAUCAAAGACAUGGCAGACAAGAAAUUCCAGAAUCCAUUAGAAAUUAUAUGGCAAAUGCUGAAGAAAGUGCUGCAGGGAGGACAAG